GUGGCCAUUGCCUUUGCCUGCUCAGUUCUU
rnacentral:piRNA from 1 species